GUGCUCGCUUCAGCAGCACAUACACUAAAGUGGAGCGAUACAGAGGAGAUUAGCAUGGCCCCUGUGCUCAGAUGACAUGCAAAUUCGUGAAGCGUUCUUUAUUUUU